GGAUGGAUCAUAAAGUAAUAUUUCAGUUAAUGAUGUGGUGCCUUCAAAUCGUAUAAAUCGCAGAGCUAUUCCGUAUGGCUGAUCGGAGGAACACUUGGCUCGGCUGUUGAAGAAGCACUGUAAAGGACCAGUUUGUCCUUCAUAGAUGUUUGUUAUGUGAAGGGUUUGUGAAUAUGUUACCUGCUUUGCAGGACGCCAGGAGUGAGUGUACACGCAUGUUAUUAAAUUGUUGGGACAUAGGAGUCUAUGAAAUUCUACCUUAAUCUCCUCCUGAUGUUCGAGUUACCCGCUGAACUUAAGCAUAUCAGUAAGCGGAGGAAAAGUAACCAAAUGGGAUUGUGCCAGUAGCGGCGAGCGAAAACACUGGACUGGUGCUGUUCUGUUGUUGGACUUCUGCAAACGGAGUCCUUCUGCGGUAAGCACCGAUAUUGAGUAGGCCUUGUUGAUACUCAAGGCUGAAUGCCAGGUGGAGUCCUGGAAAUCCGAAACACUAACCGAGACCGAUAGUUUACAAGUACCGUGAGGGAAAGUAGUGAGUUUCAUAGGAAACCGAUACAGAAACCUUUCAGCUAGAAGGGCUCGAUCCUUAGGGUAAGAGUCGCCCGUCUUGAAACACGGACCAAGGAGUCACAGUGCACGGCGAGUAACACUAACAGGGGUUGCGGAUCGAAAGAGAAUGAUAAAUUUAGCCGUGCUCCGUGGACCCGAAAGAUGGUGAACUAUACUUGACCAUGGUGAAUUCAGAUGAAACUCUGAUGGAAGCCUGUCUCGAUACUGACGCGCAAAUCGUUCGUAUGAGUUGAGUAUAGGGGCGAAAGACUAAUCGAACCAUCUAGUAGCUGGUUCCCUC
rnacentral:misc_RNA from 1 species